GAUGAACGCUGGCGGCGUGCCUAAUACAUGCAAGUCGAACGCUUCACUUCGGUGAAGAGUGGCGAACGGGUGAGUAAUACAUAAGUAACCUGGCAUCUACAGGGGGAUAACUGAUGGAAACGUCAGCUAAGACCGCAUAGGUGUAGAGAUCGCAUGAGCUCUAUAUGAAAAGUGCUACGGGACUGGUAGAUGAUGGACUUAUGGCGCAUUAGCUGGUUGGUAGAGUAACGGCCUACCAAGGCGACGAUGCGUAGCCGACCUGAGAGGGUGACCGGCCACACUGGGACUGAGACACGGCCCAGACUCCUACGGGAGGCAGCAGUAGGGAAUUUUCGGCAAUGGGGGAAACCCUGACCGAGCAACGCCGCGUGAAGGAAGAAGUAAUUCGUUAUGUAAACUUCUGUCAUAGAGGAAGAACGGUGGAUAUAGGGAAUGAUAUCCAAGUGACGGUACUCUAUAAGAAAGCCACGGCUAACUACGUGCCAGCCGCCGCAGUAA
rnacentral:rRNA from 1 species